rnacentral:rRNA from 1 species
AUGCCGGUCCUCCGCAUCAGCACGUCCAUCUAUGUGGGGUCUGGUGCCUUGACCUUGUUCUGGUUCGAUCGUUGGGUUGGCGAUCUUCCCCUGGCCGCUCGCUUCCCUGAGUUGUUCACUAUCACGGCCGGUCCUUGGGUCUUCGUGGAGGUGGCCCUUAUUGACUUAGGGCACCUUGCGUUCCGUCGCCCUUUUGGCCCCCUUGAGGUCGCAGCGUGGGAUGCUCUCCUCCAGGUCAUCGCCCUUCAGCCCCUCGACGUGGACAACGCUGAGGAUUCCCUCUUGUGGCAACUUGAGCCUUCGGGCCGCUUCUCGACCAAGUCCCUAUACCAAGCAAUUGCCCCAUCUUCGGCCCCGGAGCCAUUUAGUUUGAUAUGGGACAUCUGCCUCCCUUUGAAGAUCAGGAUCUUUCUCUAGCAGUGGAUCCGUAGCCGCUUGCCCUCUGGUGUUGAGGUGUGA